GAACUGAAGAGUUUGAUCAUGGCUCAGAUUGAACGCUGGCGGCAGGCCUAACACAUGCAAGUCGAGCGGUAGAGAGAAGCUUGCUUCUCUUGAGAGCGGCGGACGGGUGAGUAAAGCCUAGGAAUCUGCCUGGUAGUGGGGGAUAACGUUCGGAAACGGACGCUAAUACCGCAUACGUCCUACGGGAGAAAGCAGGGGACCUUCGGGCCUUGCGCUAUCAGAUGAGCCUAGGUCGGAUUAGCUAGUUGGUGAGGUAAUGGCUCACCAAGGCGACGAUCCGUAACUGGUCUGAGAGGAUGAUCAGUCACACUGGAACUGAGACACGGUCCAGACUCCUACGGGAGGCAGCAGUGGGGAAUAUUGGACAAUGGGCGAAAGCCUGAUCCAGCCAUGCCGCGUGUGUGAAGAAGGUCUUCGGAUUGUAAAGCACUUUAAGUUGGGAGGAAGGGCAGUUAC
rnacentral:rRNA from 1 species